GACGAACGCUGGCGGCGUGCUUAACACAUGCAAGUCGAACGGAAAGGCCCCUUUGGGGGUACUCGAGUGGCGAACGGGUGAGUAACACGUGCGUAACCUGCCCUUGACUUCGGGAUAACUUCAGGAAACUGGGGCUAAUACCGGAUAGGAAUCCUUGCUGCAUGGUGGGGGUUGGAAAGCUUCGGCGGUUUUGGAUGGACUCGCGGCUUAUCAGCUUGUUGGUGGGGUAGUGGCUUACCAAGGCUUUUACGGGUAGCCGGCCUGAGAGGGCGACCGGCCACAUUGGGACUGAGAUACGGCCCAGACUCCUACGGGAGGCAGCAGUGGGGAAUAUUGCACAAUGGGCGGAAGCCUGAUGCAGCAACGCCGCGUGCGGGAUGACGGCCUUCGGGUUGUAAACCGCUUUCAGCAGGGGCGAAGCUUGUGGUGACGGUACCUGCAGAAGAAGCACCGGCUAACUACGUG
rnacentral:rRNA from 1 species